GAGUUUGAUCCUGGCUCAGGAUGAACGCUGGCGGCGUGCUUAACACAUGCAAGUCGAACGAAGCACUUUGCUUGAUUUCCUUCGGGAAUGAUUGUUCUGUGACUGAGUGGCGGACGGGUGAGUAACGCGUGGAUAACCUGCCUCACACAGGGGGAUAACAGUUGGAAACGGCUGCUAAUACCGCAUAAGACCACAGUACCGCAUGGUACAGGGGUAAAAACUCCGGUGGUAUGAGAUGGACCCCGCGUCUGAUUAGCUGGUUGGUGGGGUAACGGCCUACCAAGGCGACGAUCAGUAGCCGGCCUGAGAGGGCGACCGGCCACAUUGGGACUGAGACACGGCCCAGACUCCUACGGGA
rnacentral:rRNA from 1 species